CCGGACGCGGCUCAGGUGCUGGUUCAUGCUGUUUUUCUCUCUCGCCUUGACUACUGCAAUCCCCUUCUCAGUGGUCUUACGUGCUCUCAGAUUGCACCUCUGCUAUCUAUAAUGAAUGCAGCGGCAAGGCUCAUUUUCCUGUCCGCCCACACCUCCCAUGCCUCCCCCCUCUGUCAGUCCCUAUAUUGGCUUCCAGUUAGAUAUAGGGCUCAGUUUAAGAUUGUGGUGCUUGCUUACAAGAGCCUACAUAAGGCUGCUGCAACCUAUCUAUCCUCCCUAAUACUUAAGUAUGCCCCGUCGAGGCCCCUGCGCUCUGCCGAAGACCUACGUCUAUCCUCUGUCCGUAC